UCUACCCGAGAGCUUCUCUCUCCUCAUCCUCGCCGGAAAUCGCCGCCGCUGGUCACCACCGGCGCCGGAACCCAGAUUUCAACCAAAAUUUCCAGAUUUUCUUCUCUUCAUCCCCUCUUUCCAUUUCUCCAACCAAAAUCAAGAAAUUUGGCCAUUUAAUCCUCCAAAAACCCUAGAACUUGAAGCUAAUUUGGGGGGGGUUUUUGUGAUUUCUUCUUUCCAAGCUUAAAUCAAGGUAAUAUCCCUCCUAAUCUAGCCUCUAUUCAUCUGAUCUACGCCUAUUUCUUCCUAAAUCCGAGUUUUUGAUUUGGAUUUGUGAUUUUGUUUGCAUGAACCCGAUUUCUCCUUAAACCAUGAAGCUAGGCUAUGGGUUUGGCAAGGAUUUUUGGUGAAGAAGGCCAAGGAGAAGGAAUAGGCCGUGAUUUUUGAAGAAGAAAGGGUUACAACGAGGUCAUUCCAGACGAUUUGGAUUAGAAGUGGGUCGUUGGCCGAGUUCGUGUGUUGCUGUUCCUGUUGCUUGAAGUUCUUCCCUUUUGGUAUUCCAUCGAUUUACUCGUUUUUCAUUCUAUGUUGAACUCUGUGAGGUUCGCCUACCUGGGAGCGCGCCUCACCCCUUUGUUUUAUUGUUGUUGUUGAACUUUCCUUUCAUUUCGGUUAUGAUGGAAGCCUUAAGGCGCCACAAUGCACUUGCCCACUUUAUUUUUAAGCAUUUCCAGACUUGUUAUUUUGACUGUUGGGUUGUUGAUUUAAAAUCCUUUCUUAAAAGUUUUUCUUGGUCUCCUAUUUUCUAAAAAUUGUAUUUUCAAAAAGGCAUUGUAGUAUUAAGUU